GGGAAGUCCAGCUAUCAGGGAAGCUUCCCCAAUCAGGGAAGCAUGAAGUUUUAACCACUGGACCGUCAGAGAAGUCCCUCUUUUUACAUUUUUUAAUGUAGCUACCAGAAAAUUGAAAAUUAAGUGCAUGGCUCACAUUUUUGCCUUGCGUUACAUUUCUUUUGAACAGUGAGCGCUGUUCUGGAACCUCACCACUUAGUGUUGUCCCUGCUCAAGCAGCAUCAGCAUUUCCAGAAAGCUCGUGAGGAAUAGACUCUCAGAGCUCAGCCCAGACCUAAAGAAUCAGAAUCUUCAUUUUAGUCAGAUUCCUGGGGGAUUCAAGUGCGAGAAGCUGCCCUCAGAGGACUUCCUGUAGGUUCAGCUGAUCCGUCUGCUUCCAGGAAGGCAUGCUGGUGUGGCCACUGCACGGUGACAUACUGGACAGCAAGUAAGAGACUUGUAGAGUGUUGCUGCAGAUUCUGUUUUUUUUUUCUUCCUUCCCUGCCUCCCAGCAUGGACCCUUGGGUUGAGGUGAACUUCCACAGGGAGUCUAUGGCCUGAUAAUAUUUUCCAAGGUGGGCUGGGAGCUGGGGUGGGGAAAAGCAGGUGUGUCACCAUAGAAGAGGGAAGCCUCAGACAAGAAGACAAAGUCCUUGUUUGGUCUCAAGUUAAUGGUUAACCUACUAUGGAGAAAGAAGCAGUUGAGACGGUGGACUUUAGUUUCUGGCUGUUUCUCUACAAACUUCUGUGGCCUUGGUUUAAUUAUCCCCCUGUCUUGCAGAACAGCAAAUGCUGGGAUAGACCGGACCCUUUGACACCCAAGUCUUGUGAACUAGGGGACAGAGCCAAGAAGAGUGAGGAGAUUUUUCAAUAUUCAGAGAAAAGAAUGAGGAGACCUGAGGGAGAACUAAACAUGUAUCUUCUGCUGUGCAUGGAAAUGAUGAUUUUCAUAAAGAAAAUAAAUGUACAUGCAAUAAAGCCCAGAGAUAUAAAUGCAGAAAUGAAUAACAAGCUCAAGGCCACAAAGAUGACAAAUCACCAGCUGAUUACGCUGUGGGCUCUCUGUAUGUACAGCAAGCUCUUUGAGAACAGAGAAGACCCCCCAGAUUGAAGUGAAGGGGAAGCUUCUUAGAGGAAGGAGGAGAGGCUGGAAAUUCUUUUUAUGAACAUAUGGAGUAUGGCCUUUUCCAGGGAAGGCAAUGGAGUCCCCUAAAGACGCUGAAGACUGGGGAAUAACGAUGAGAAGUUCAGCGGCCCCUGAAGCUGUGGUGAGGUCCUAGGAGGACAGGACCCUAAACAAGAGCCCAUUACCAGCACUGGAUUCAAU
ensembl:lncRNA